UACGUAGGGGGCAAGCGUUGUCCGGAUUUAUUGGGCGUAAAGAGCGUGUAGGCGGCUUUGCAAGUCCGUUGUGAAAACUCGAGGCUCAACCUCGAGACGCCGGUGGAAACUGCAAAGCUAGAGUCCGGAAGAGGAGAGUGGAAUCCUGGUGUAGCGGGUGAAAUGCGCAGAUAUCAGGAAGAACACCCGUGGCGAAGGCGGCUCUCUGGGACGGUACUGACGCUGAGACGCGAAAGCGUGGGGAGCGAACAGG
rnacentral:rRNA from 1 species